rnacentral:misc_RNA from 1 species
GUAUCGCGCGCUGAAAAUCCAAACACUGUUCCACGUGCCACGUGAGUUUUCCACACCCCACGGGCUUGAGAAAGCGGUAUCAGUUUUCAUCAUCAUCGUAAUUCACGAUGAACGUAACGAAUACAAAUUUCGAAGAAGUUUAUCCCAAAAUAAAAAAAUCGUUGGAAAGUGCGACCUUCGUUGCGAUUGACGCUGAGUUUAGCGGUUUGCAAAGCGCUGAUAAGAACAUUUCCUACUUGAACGAGAGUUUAUUCGACUCGCCGAAGGAACGUUAUACCAAAUUAAGGAAAAAUAUCGAACCCUUCAUAGCUAUCCAAUUCGGUUUGACUGCUUUCACAUAUGUCAAACACGAAAACAAAUACAAUGCAGAAUCUUUUGAAUUUUAUCUAAUUCCAAGGCCCCUACCGACGAAAAACAGAACUUUUCUUGUGCAGGCUGUGACCCUGCAAUUCCAUACCUUUUACAAAUUUGAUUUUAACGAGUUAGUUUACAACGCUGUGUCCUACUUGGAUGAGAAUGAAGAGACCGCCUUACGUCGAAGCCUGGAGGACUAUUCUUACGCUUGGGAGGCUUCGGAGUCGGGUGCGGAUGAAGGCAGGAAUCAAAUAGAAGAUUGUUUUAACAGAGUGCAGCAGUGGUUGAAGAGUGAGAGCGAAGCAUUGAGCAUCGAAGCCCCUGACUUUGUUGUAUCUUAUAAAACACAAAAGGAAUUGCGCGCCAGUUUCAAAACUAUAUGGACAGAAUGUUCAGGACCAAACAACUUCUCAGUCAUCAAAGUUUCACCUGAGGUUAGAGAGAGCCUGGAGAAAAAAAAUGUGCCUGACAAACUAAACAAAAAGUUGUUGGAUUAUUAUAUCGGAUUCUCUAAAGUAUUCAAAUUAAUAUCAAGUUUGAAGAAACCCAUCGUCGGACACAAUCUCUUUCUCGAUCUCAUGUUUAUGCACAAGCAAUUUUAUCUACCUCUUCCCGAAAAUUAUGAGACGUUCAAAAAAAACGUAAAUCGACUCUUCCCUCUUGUGUACGACACAAAAUUUUUGAGUUUCGAAAUGAAGAAAAUAUUGGGCGAAACAUCUUGGAAAUCAAACGUGCUCGCCGAAUUGUAUAAUUACUACAAAGACGGUCAGGGUCGUUAUUUGGCCAUGAAUUCUCCGUCUAUCGUUCUUUCGUCAGAUUCAGCGAUUGAUUCAGAUAAAUGCAGAGGAAAGUUCCACAAUGCCGCAUGGGACUCUUACUGCACAGGUUAUUGUUUUAUACGAAUGGCCCACAUUUGCGCUGUCAGAAAGCAAAGCAAGGAUGCUGAUAUGAGAAUAUUGACAAACGCUGAGAUUAUGUCCGGUGUGAUGGAGCGAGCGAAUCGAAUUAAUUUGAUCAGAGCCGAUUUAUCGCACUUGGUAAUUAUCGACCGAGCGGCUGGAUGGUCCGGAUCCUGCGUCGACGAGACCCCGGUGGCUGUUGGUACGAGCCUCGACCAAUGAUUUAACAACUCAGCGGAUCGCUCGAGCCUUUUCACGUUUCGGAGCGGUCGACGUCAAGAGAUUCUCGGGAAAUGAAGUUUUAGUCGCCGUUCCAAAUCACGGGGUAUCAAGAGCAAUACUCAAUAACUACGAGGGAAACGCAGAAUUUCGAGUAGUCC